GAAACCCAUGUAAUAGGCCUAGUGAAUAGAAUACAGACUACGAUCGAAGAACGAAGAACCAAGAUGGUAGGUAGAGAGGAGGAGGACUGGAGGAGUAGGAGCUAGCUUUAAUUGAAAGCAUAAGACGAGAAAAUGUUUUAUUUCCAUGGCUUCUUCUUUUACGCCUGUGAUCGAAUUUUGCAAGAAAAUCUUGUUGUGUAGUGGGGGUGUGGAUGAUGAUCGAGGUAGUCGUAGUCCAGAUGGGAUUCUUGGAGUCUAUCAGUUCUCUUAGGCUCUGCUUGGUGCUCGGUGUCUUCGGUGACUCCAACGCAAGCGAUCAUAAGAAGGUAAUUGACUUCAGGAAUGUAUACUUGUCCUUCAUACUUUGUCGAUGUGUGUACAAUCUUGACGCGAGGGAAACACCCAAGUGAGAGGGAUUGUUGGAUUAUAGAGAAAGUCCCUGAAAUCAUUGCCUGACUUGCUAUGAUCGAUGCCAUAACAGCAACUACAAACAUCGGCCAGUACAGGUAUUGAAGAGUAGAAUGUAUCUGAGACAAGGUGAUUGUGCUUGCGAAGGAAGGAAGCUUGUCCAGUAUAAGCAAAUAUAAGAGCUGGAUAGGUCAUGAAGCACAUGCUUAUUUGGAUAGACCGAACAGUGAAGUGACCGA